GAUCGCCGGAAUAGGGCUUGCUGACUUGUAGGUCCUUGGGGCUGUAAGGUCAGCUUUCAGAUGUGGACUGGGUCCCUUGGAUGUUAGGAGAAGAGAAAACCAGGAGAGGGUGAAAGGUGGGAGGAGGUGAUUAUCAAGUGGAACAAGUGGCCAACCAGACUACCAAGAUUAUCGAAAAACGCACCCCCAUGCCUCCUGAAUCUCCCCAGCCCUCCCAACUCUACUGAAACACGGUCCACAUUCAGGCACCUUUCCCCAUGUGUCUCUGGUGCAGGAAGGCGCCUGAAUUAUUUAAACAUUACACACUAUUUGUAUCCAGAUGGUUCUGAGGAGCAACUGCAAAGCUAAUAGAUGGCUUAGGCUGUCUGUGAAGGUUUGGAUGGAUCUC